rnacentral:rRNA from 1 species
GAUAUGAGCCACGGCCGCAUGGUCGGUGGUUGGAAAGAUUUUUUGGUCUGGGAUGGGCUCGCGGCCUAUCAGCUUGUUGGUGAGGUAAUGGCUCACCAAGGCGUCGACGGGUAGCCGGCCUGAGAGGGUGACCGGCCACACUGGGACUGAGACACGGCCCAGACUCCUACGGGAGGCAGCAGUGGGGAAUAUUGCACAAUGGGCGGAAGCCUGAUGCAGCAACGCCGCGUGAGGGAUGACGGCCUUCGGGUUGUAAACCUCUUUUAGCAGGGAAGAAGCGUGAGUGACGGUACCUGCAGAAAAAGCGCCGGCUAACUACGUGCCAGCAGCCGCGGUAAUACGUAGGGCGCAAGCGUUAUCCGGAAUUAUUGGGCGUAAAGAGCUCGUAGGCGGUUUGUCGCGUCUGCUGUGAAAUCCCGAGGCUCAACUUCGGGCUUGCAGUGGGUACGGGCAGACUAGAGUGCGGUAGGGGAGAUUGGAAUUCCUGGUGUAGCGGUGGAAUGCGCAGAUAUCAGGAGGAACACCGAUGGCGAA